rnacentral:rRNA from 1 species
UACGGAGGGGGCAAGCGUUAUCCGGAUUUACUGGGUUUAAAGGGUGCGUAGGUGGGUCUGUAAGUCAGUGGUGAAAUCUCCGAGCUUAACUCGGAAACUGCCAUUGAUACUAUAGGUCUUGAAUUAUCUGGAGGUAAGCGGAAUAUGUCAUGUAGCGGUGAAAUGCUUAGAUAUGACAUAGAACACCAAUUGCGAAGGCAGCUUACUACGGAUAUAUUGACACUGAGGCACGAAAGCGUGGGGAUCAAACAGG